rnacentral:tmRNA from 1 species
GGGGGCGACUUGGUUUUGACGGAGGCGUUGUGACGGCAUAGUUGCAGGCCCGGGAUAGCGGUUGGCCCGGUUAUCAAUCCGCUACGCCAUUAUCUGGCAAUAGCAACACUUACGCUCUCGCUGCAUAAGCGAAGCCACCGACCUGAAGCUCUACCUCUGGCUCGCAGGUAAGGUGUCCUAAAGGGGGUUAGCCCACGUAUUUUCGCGUUGGUAUAUUGGGUGAAACUUUAGACGCGUAAGCGCUAGAAUGACGCUUGUUCUCGAGCUACUUUGGCGCCGACAAUAAAUCGAGCACUAUGUCUGUAGACGCUAGCCUAGCCGCUUUCGGACGCGGGUUCGACUCCCGCCGCCUCCACCA